CUCUUGUCGCCGGUGCGUUGUGCCUGCAUCUUUGCUCCAGCUAAGCCAGCUCCUCUAGGCCUCUGGCUGCCCACCGCAGUGGGCUCUGGACUGGACUCUGGACCAUGCGUUGCUGGGUUUGCUGCUGUGAUGAUGGAGGUGCUGCUUUUGUCUGUCUGAUGUUUAUACUUUGUGGGUGUGGAGUGUGCUAGGAACAUCUCAUAUGUGCCAGGAACUGGCUCUUUGGAAAAGUCAGUCCAGGUUAGAAACAUAGACUGUGGCCGGGCAUAGUGGCUCACGCCUAUAAUCCCAGCACUUUGGGAAGCCAAGGUGGGCAGAUCUCUUGACUUGAGGUCAGGAGUUCGAGACCGGCCUGGCCAACAUUGUGAAACCCCAUCUCUACUAAAAAUACAAAAAUUAGCCAGGCAUGGUGGUGCAUGCCUGUAGUUCCAGCUAUCCGGGAGGCUGAGGCACGGGAAUUGCUUGAACCCUGGAGACAGAGGUUGCAGUGAGCCAAGAUCACGCCACUGCACUCCAGGACUGUAUCAAGUUCACUCCAAAAGUGGAGAAGAGCCAUCUGGACUGCAACUGCCACCAAGGGAAGCCACACUUCAGCCAAGUGGGGCCCUCCACCUAAGGCCGAGCAUGGUGUCACACAGCUGUAGCCGUUAGGAAUGUCUCUGGAUGCAAUGAAUAGAAAAUCUACAUAUCAGAGGCUGAAGCAAUAAGAGGCAGCAGCGUGGAACCGCAUCACACGGCCACCCCCAGUUGCAACAGAGACUGGGAAGGUGGAGUAUCAGAUGGAAAUCCUAUUGUCAGGACCCAGGCUGAGCAUGCUGCCUCCCCACACGAAACCAGACUUCUGUUAGCAAGAAAGAUACAAGAUCGCCGGCCACUAUGGUUAUUGACAUGUUGUGCUGUCAUCUUCCAAAAACUGACGAGGGCCAGGUGCGGUGGCACACACCUGUAAUCCCAACAUCCUGGAGGCUGAGGCAAGAGGAUCACUUGAGGCCAGGACUUUGAGACUAGCUUGGGCAACAUAGCGAGACCCCCAUCUCUACAAAAAAUAAAAAUAAAAAUUUUAAUAAAAAAAAUAGCCGAGCAUA
rnacentral:lncRNA from 1 species